rnacentral:rRNA from 1 species
AUGGCCGGUUCGGAUAAGCGCUGAAAGCAUCUAAGUGCGAAGCCGACUCCAAGAUUAGGUCUCCCACCGGGUUAACCGGGUAAGGGCCCUGGUAGACAACCAGGUUGAUAGGCCGCAGGUGUAAGAGGAGCAAUCCUUUGAGCUGAGCGGUACUAAGAGCCCGAGGGCUUGUUCACCUAUAACUCACUCU